CCCGCUGAAUUUAAGCAUAUUAAUAAGCGGAGGAAAAGAAACUAACAAGGAUUCCCUCAGUAACGGCGAGUGAAGCGGGAAGAGCUCAAAUUUGAAAUCUCCGAUGCUUGCAUCGGCGAGUUGUAGUUGCGAGAAGCACUUUCUAGGCGGAUCGACGGUGCCUAAGUUGCUUGGAACRGCACGUCGCAGAGGGUGACAACCCCGUCUGUGGCGCCGCCGGCCGCCGACGAUGUGCUUUCGAAGAGUCGGGUUGUUUGGGAAUGCAGCCCAAAACGGGUGGUAAACUCCAUCUAAAGCUAAAUACUGGCGUGAGACCGAUAGCGAACAAGUACCGUGAGGGAAAGAUGAAAAGAACUUUGAAAAGAGAGUUAAAAAGUACGUGAAACCGUCGAAAGGGAAACGAAUGGACUCAGCAAUGCGCCCUCUGAGAUUCAGCCGGUGGGUGGCGGCGGCGCCGGGUUUGCGGAUCUGAAUGGACCGCGGCCUGGCGCCCGCCUCKUCCCGCCGUCGCACUUCUCUGGGGCGCGCGUCAACGUGGGUUGGGACUGGGUCUGAAAGGCGCCGGGAAGGUAGGUGUGGGCCUUCGGGUCCGUUCUGUUACAGCCCGGUUCUCUCAUGGCUCGGGCCCGACCGAGGAGCGACACGGGGCAUGCCUCCUGUGGCUAGGGUCCCGCCCUUCCGGCCGGCUGUCCAGUGCGGUGGACUGCUUGCAGUGCUCCGCGRCGGCUGCCGGUCGUUGSGGUGGUGAUCUCGUACCAUGCCCCUAGGAUGUUGGCGGUCAUAUGGGUGC
rnacentral:rRNA from 1 species